GUUGGAGUGUCCAUGUGGCCGAACGUUGCAGGAAAAUAGAAAAAGGAUAUACCAACCACUUGGUGUCAUCCUAUUUUUGCAUGCAUGAAAGAAACCCUAAGCAUCUCACUUUUAUUGGUAUCUAUACUGUAAAAAAAAAAAAAAAUCACUGGAGAAGUGGAGAUUUUAUUUAAAAAAAAUUUUUUUUUUUAAAUCGGACAAACAGAAA